GCCGUUGAUACUUUUACCAGAGAGAGAAUGGCUGGAAGAAAUCCUAACUUCGACGUUAGGAGGAGAUCUGGUUCUGUCCCAGGGCAGAAUUUGGAUUUUUUCAAUUCUUUUUGGUCAUUCCAUGAACACAUGCCGGGUCCGACCUUCACUAGUGUCACUCCAGAAGGUAGAUCUAGUCAGCGUACGGGACUGGAAGAAUUAGCCGCACAGCUUUCCUUGAAUGAACACAGGGAACCAGUUCCAACUCCUGCUUCUCACUCUUCUAUACAAGCAUUGCCCACAAUCAAGAUUAACCAAAUGCACCUUGGCACCGACUCUCAUUGUCCAGUCUGUAAAGAAAAAUUUGAGCUGGGAUCUGAAGCCAAAGUGUUGCCGUGUAAUCAUAUUUAUCACACUGAUUGCAUUCUUCCUUGGCUGGCCCAACAUAAUACUUGCCCGGUUUGUCGACUUGAGCUGCCUCUGCAGGACAGUGGACAUGGUUGGGGAGGGAACAGUGGCAAUAACGGUGAAGGCCUAAAUGAGAGAGAGAUUACUCAUCGAAAUCUGAGAAGGAGGCAUCCAUUCCCAGAUUUUUUUGCUCCUCGUCGAAUAGUCACUCGUUUCAGCAGCGGGAUUCAUAUAAAUGGCUUAUCUACAGAUCGAGAGCAUGAUAACGAGAUGAGCUACCCUGAAUGACCUUUUGAUUACCAAGUCUAUAACGCUUCUCUACUUGAGCAUGAUAUGUGAAAGCUCUGUUCUACAACAAAUGAGG
rnacentral:misc_RNA from 1 species